rnacentral:rRNA from 1 species
AACGGACUUUGUCGGAUUAAUUCUUCGGAAAGCGUGCGAUAAAGUUAGUGGCGGACGGGUGAGUAACGCGUGAGCAACCUGCCUUUGAUAGGGGGAUAACAGAGGGAAACUUCUGCUAAUACCGCAUGAUGCAUGGGGAUCGCAUGGAACCCAUGCCAAAGGAGCAAUCCGAUCAAAGAUGGGCUCGCGUCCGAUUAGAUAGUUGGUGGGGUAACGGCCCACCAAGUCGACGAUCGGUAGCCGGACUGAGAGGUUGAACGGCCACAUUGGAACUGAGAGACGGUCCAGACUCCUACGGGAGGCAGCAGUGGGGAAUAUUGGGCAAUGGACGAAAGUCUGACCCAGCGACGCCGCGUGAGGGAAGAAGGUCUUCGGAUUGUAAACCUUAGUCAACAGGGAAGAAGAAAGUGACGGUACCUGUGGAGGAAGCCACGGCUAACUACGUGCCAGCAGCCGCGGUAAUACGUAGGUGGCGAGCGUUAUCCGGAUUUACUGGGUGUAAAGGGUGUGUAGGCGGGAAGGCAAGUCAGAUGUGAAAACUAUGGGCUCAACCCAUAGCCUGCAUUUGAAACUGUUUUUCUUGAGAGUUGGAGAGGUAAGUGGAAUUCCCGGUGUAGCGGUGAAAUGCGUAGAUAUCGGGAGGAACAUCUGUGGC